rnacentral:rRNA from 1 species
AUUGAACGCUGGCGGCAGGCUUAACACACGCAAGUCGAGCGGGGAAGGGUAGCUCGCUACCUAACCUAGCGGCGGACGGGUGAGUAAUGCUUAGGAAUCUGCCUAUUAGUGGGGGACAACAUUCCGAAAGGAAUGCUAAUACCGCAUACGCCCUACGGGGGAAAGCAGGGGAUCUUCGGACCUUGCGCUAAUAGAUGAGCCUAAGUCAGAUUAGCUAGUUGGUGGGGUAAAGGCCUACCAAGGCGACGAUCUGUAGCGGGUCUGAGAGGAUGAUCCGCCACACUGGGACUGAGACACGGCCCAGACCCCUACGGGAGGCAGCAGUGGGGAAUAUUGGACAAUGGGCGAAAGCCUGAUCCAGCCAUGCCGCGUGUGUGAAGAAGGCCUUUUGGUUGUAAAGCACUUUAAGCGAGGAGGAGGCUACUUAGAUUAAUACUCUAGGAUAGUGGACGUUACUCGCAGAAUAAGCACCGGCUAACUCUGUGCCAGCAGCCGCGGUAAAAC